ACUAUUUUGGCAGAUUAGUGCAAUAAAUUUAGAAUUUAUUUAUGUAAUUAUUUUACAAAUAGUA
rnacentral:tRNA from 1 species